CCUACGGGAGGCAGCAGUGGGGAAUAUUGCGCAAUGGGCGAAAGCCUGACGCAGCGACGCCGCGUGAGGGAUGCAGGUCUUCGGAUCGUAAACCUCUGUCAGCAGGGAAGAACGGUCACUGUGCUAAUCAGCAGUGAAUUGACGGUACCUGCAAAGGAAGCACCGGCUAACUCCGUGCCAGCAGCCGCGGUAAUACGGAGGGUGCGAGCGUUAAUCGGAAUUACUGGGCGUAAAGCGAUCGUAGGCGGUAUGUCAAGUCAAGGGGGAAAUCCCCGCGCUCAACGGGGGAACUGCCUUUGAAACUGGCAAACUGGAGUGUGUGAGAGGAUAGUGGAAUGCCAGGUGUAGGAGUGAAAUCCGUAGAUAUCUGGAGGAACAUCAGUGGCGAAGGCGACUAUCUGGCACAUAACUGACGCUGAGGAGCGAAAGCGUGGGUAGCAAACAGGAUUAGAUACCCGGGUAGUC
rnacentral:rRNA from 1 species